AAACAGGCGCUUUUCAGCGCCAUCGAUAUCAACUAUAUGAGCAUC
rfam:Chitinophaga eiseniae strain DSM 22224 genome assembly, contig: Ga0070509_104